UACGGGGGGAGCAAGCGUUGUUCGGAUUUACUGGGCGUAAAGGGCGCGUAGGCGGCCACCGCAAGUCGACUGUGAAAUCUCCGGGCUUAACCCGGAAAGGUCAGCCGAUGCUGCGGGGCUAGAGUGCAGAAGGGGCAACUGGAAUUCUCGGUGUAGCGGUGAAAUGCGUAGAUAUCGAGAGGAACACCUGCGGCGAAGGCGGGUUGCUGGGCUGACACUGACGCUGAGGCGCGAAAGCUAGGGGAGCGAACGGG
rnacentral:rRNA from 1 species